rnacentral:rRNA from 1 species
UACAGAGGUCUCAAGCGUUGUUCGGAAUUACUGGGCGUAAAGGGUGCGCAGGCCGCGCGGGCAGUCAAAUGUGUAAUCCAGGGGCUCAACCCCUGAACUGCGCUUGAUACUUCCGCGCUCGAGCUUUGGAGAGGAGUCUGGAAUUCUCGGUGUAGCAGUGAAAUGCGUGGAUAUCGAGAAGAACACUUAGGGCGUAGGCAAGACUCUGGACAAAUGCUGACGCUCAUGCACGGAAGGCUAGGGUAGCGAACGGG